UACAGAGGUCUCAAGCGUUGUUCGGAUUCAUUGGGCGUAAAGGGUGCGUAGGCGGUGAGGUAAGUUGGAUGUGAAAUCCCGGGGCUUAACCCCGGAACUGCAUUCAAUACUGCCUUGCUAGAGUACUGGAGAGGAGAUUGGAAUUCACGGUGUAGCAGUGAAAUGCGUAGAGAUCGUAAGGAAGACCAGUGGCGAAGGCGGGUCUCUGGACAGUUCCUGACACUGAGGCACGAAGGCCAGGGGAGCAAACGGG
rnacentral:rRNA from 1 species